rnacentral:lncRNA from 1 species
AGGAACCGGACCAACGAGGAAGGGAGAAAAUGAGGAGAACCAAUGGGAAAAGAGGAAAUGAGGGAAAAUGAGAGAAAGGGAGAAGGAGAGGAACCCGCUGGGUUCCCCAUUGACCCGCGACCUGACCCGGUUCCUCCAUCUUUUCUGGCGGUUUCCGUUGGUUUUUCCGUCAAAUCGUCGCCACCCACCACGUGAGAAACCUUCCAUG